rnacentral:rRNA from 1 species
AAUUCGAUUGAGUUUGAUCAUGGCUCAGGACGAACGCUGGCGGCGUGCUUAACACAUGCAAGUCGAGCGGAAAGGCCCUUUUGGGGGUACUCGAGCGGCGAACGGGUGAGUAACACGUGAGUAAUCUGCCCUUCACUCUGGGAUAACUGCCUGAAAGGGUGGCUAAUACCGGAUAUUCUCUGCGCAUCGCAUGGUGUGUGGUGGGAAGAUUUUUUGGUGGGGGAUGUGCUCGCGGCCUAUCAGCUUGUUGGUGGGGUAAUGGCCUACCAAGGCUUUGACGGGUAGCCGGCCUGAGAGGGUGACCGGCCACACUGGGACUGAGACACGGCCCAGACUCCUACGGGAGGCAGCAGUGGGGAAUAUUGGACAAUGGGCGGAAGCCUGAUCCAGCAACGCCGCGUGAGGGAUGACGGCCUUCGGGUUGUAAACCUCUUUCAGCACAGACGAAGCGCCCUGUCGGGUGGUGACGGUAUGUGCAGAAGAAGCACCGGCCAACUACGUGCCAGCAGCCGCGGUAAUACGUAGGGUGCGAGCGUUGUCCGGAAUUAUUGGGCGUAAAGGGCUCGUAGGCGGUUUGUCGCGUCGGGAGUGAAAUCCACUGGCUUAACUGGUGGCUUGCUUUCGAUACGGGCAGACUGGAGGUAUGCAGGGGAGAACGGAAUUCCUGGUGUAGCGGUGAAAUGCGCAGAUAUCAGGAGGAACACCGGUGGCGAAGGCGGUUCUCUGGGCAUGUCCUGACGCUGA